AUUGAACGCUGGCGGCAGGCCUAACACAUGCAAGUCGGACGGUAGCACAGAGAGCUUGCUCUCGGGUGACGAGUGGCGGACGGGUGAGUAAUGUCUGGGGAUCUGCCCGAUAGAGGGGGAUAACCACUGGAAACGGUGGCUAAUACCGCAUAACGUCGCAAGACCAAAGAGGGGGACCUUCGGGCCUCUCUCGAUCGGAUGAACCCAGAUGGGAUUAGCUAGUAGGCGGGGUAACGGCCCACCUAGGCGACGAUCCCUAGCUGGUCUGAGAGGAUGACCAGCCACACUGGAACUGAGACACGGUCCAGACUCCUACGGGAGGCAGCAGUGGGGAAUAUUGCACAAUGGGCGCAAGCCUGAUGCAGCCAUGCCGCGUGUAUGAAGAAGGCCUUCGGGUUGUAAAGUACUUUCAGCGGGGAGGAAGGCGAUGUGGUUAAUAACCGCGUCGAUUGACGUUACCCGCAGAAGAAGCACCGGCUAACUCCGUGCCAGCCGCCGCCGUAA
rnacentral:rRNA from 1 species